ACAGCUUAAUGUCAAUAAUUUGAUAACUUUUAAUUCUAUUAACUAAAAUUAACUAUUUAAAUCUUAUGGACUUAUUUUCAAAUAGACAAUUGACAAAUUGAUUAAUUUUGUAUAUGUUUUUGCAACUACGAGACUGCGAAAGUGGUACAGAAGUAUCGUAUAAUUUUUCCUUAGUGUCCAGUACCUGAUCAUUGGGUUUUUAGAAAUACCCAUAGAUAUUUAAUUAGUAUGGAUCAUUUGAACGUAAUCAUAGACAGGGGAGAUCUCAGGGAAACCAUAUUUUGGAAGAUGCACUUAAUUUAAUUGAAAAAGACCCAACAAGGAGCAUUCAAAUUGUUUCCAGGCUCUCGGAAAUACAUAGAGCCUAAGUUGGUGGAAUGUAGAGUGCAAUGUCUCUAUCCCUACCAUUAUCAGCGUGUCCAAGCUCUUAUAUCCCAAGAUUUUUUGUCGAGAAUGUGGUUCAUUUAGGGAGUGGAUUAGGAACCACCAGCAACUCGUUCCUUUUAUUAUGCGGAUAAAGCAUAACAAAUUUAGGAACUGUACCGAAUUUGAGUUAAAAACACUUGUGAUUUUUGUAUUUAGUCAAAGCAGCCUUAUCCUUAGGUGAGCCACUAUGAAAAUGUAUUUCCACAUGUCUUAUUAGAAAAACUCAUUGGUUUGGGCAUGCCUGAGAGGUUUGCAUAUAAUCUCAUUGGAUUAUUUACUAACAGACAUGUAGCAAUUAAAAUAGGAAAUAAUAUAUCCGAAUAUGAAAUAACCUCUUUAGGCCAUCUACAAGGCUCAGUGUUUAGCCCUUUACUUUUUAAUCUGUAUACCUAGGCUUAAAAUAAAUGAUUGUAAACUAA